rnacentral:rRNA from 1 species
UACAGAGGGGGCAAGCGUUGUUCGGAAUUACUGGGCGUAAAGCGCACGUAGGCGGAUUGCUAAGUCAGGGGUGAAAUCCUGGAGCUCAACUCCAGAACUGCCUUUGAUACUGGAGAGCUUGAGUCCGGAAGAGGUGAGUGGAACUCCGAGUGUAGAGGUGAAAUUCGUAGAUAUUCGGAAGAACACCAGUGGCGAAGGCGGCUCACUGGUCCGGUACUGACGCUGAGGUGCGAAAGCGUGGGGAGCAAACAGG